rnacentral:rRNA from 1 species
UUGAACGCUGGCGGCAUGCCUUACACAUGCAAGUCGAACGGUAACAGGUUAAGCUGACGCGUGGCGAACGGGUGAGUAGUACAUCGGAACGUGCCCAGUAGUGUGGGUUAGCCCGGCGAAAGCCGGAUUAAUACCGCAUACGACCUAAGGGUGAAAGGGGGGGAUCGCAAGACCUCUCGCUAUUGGAGCGGCCGAUGUCAGAUUAGCUAGUUGGUGGGGUAAAAGCUCACCAAGGCGACGAUCUGUAGCUGGUCUGAGAGGACGACCAGCCACACUGGGACUGAGACACGGCCCAGACUCCUACGGGAGGCAGCAGUGGGGAAUUUUGGACAAUGGGCGCAAGCCUGAUCCAGCCAUGCCGCGUGCGGGAAGAAGGCCUUCGGGUUGUAAACCGCUUUUGUCAGGGAAGAAAUCCUUUGGGUUAAUACCUCGGGGGGAUGACGGUACCUGAAGAAUAAGCACCGGCUAACUACGUG